rnacentral:rRNA from 1 species
AUUGAACGCUGGCGGCAUGCCUUACACAUGCAAGUCGAACGGCAGCACGGGAGCAAUCCUGGUGGCGAGUGGCGAACGGGUGAGUAAUAUACCGGAACGUGCCCAGUCGUGGGGAUAACGUAGCGAAAGCUACGCUAAUACCGCAUACGAUCUAUGGAUGAAAGCGGGGGAUCGCAAGACCUCGCGCGAUUGGAGCGGCCGAUAUCAGAUUAGGUAGUUGGUGAGGUAAAGGCUCACCAAGCCGACGAUCUGUAGCUGGUCUGAGAGGACGACCAGCCACACUGGGACUGAGACACGGCCCAGACUCCUACGGGAGGCAGCAGUGGGGAAUUUUGGGACAAUGGGCGCAAGCCUGAUCCAGCAAUGCCGCGUGCAGGAUGAAGGCCUCGG